CGCGGGCCAGGCACGCGGAGUUGCUCGCUGUCCCUGCUGGGAGCGCAACUCGAAGUCCUCGACGGCCGCUUGUUAUCCAGAGGAAAGCGAACACAAUAAACCUUCCCUGGAGAAGGGAGAGGCAGGAGCAGGUCUCUGUUCCAGAGGAUGGAAAUAUAUCUCAGCCUCCCAGUUAAGCCCUGAAGUUAGAAACCCCUGAAAAGAGAUUCCCUGAACUCGGGCAUAUACUCAGAGCAGAACAAGACAACAUUGUUCCCAGCAAGACUCAGAUGAAAGAUUUUCUCUAAUAGCCAGUAGUAGAUUUCUGAAUUGUUCUGUUUGCUUAUCUAUAUUUUGAAUGGGGAGAAUUUCUUGCCAGUUGAACUUCAAGUUGUAAGUAAAAAAGCCUAUCUUGAUGUCUCCUAGCAACAAUUUAUGAAACACUU